AAGAAAGUCAAGGAAUAACUAAAACAAAUAUUUAAAUAUAAUUUUAUAUAAAAUAACAUGAUGGCACUAAAAACUUUUAUGAUAUCGUGUAUUUUGGCCACACAGUAUAAGGUCGCAAUUUCACAAUGCAUACGCCAGCCCAUCUGUCAAAAGGUCGUCCAACCCAUACUCCCCCCCAUUAUCCCCCCAAUUAUCAACCCCACAACCAUAAUCACAGACUGCACUCCAAGAUCCUGCCAAAACCUUGCUGAUACCUUACAACUCAUGAUUGUUUGCAACCUUCUUGAAAAUUCCAACUGUGGGGUCUGUGGGUGCAAUGACUGCAACCCCAAUUCAAUUUGCAACUGUGUUUCACCUUGUGGUUGCAUUUCACCGUGCGGUUGCAACGUAAUUUCACCUAGCAUUGUUUCACCUAGCGUUGUAUCACCUAAUUUGUUUGGGAACAAUUUAUUAGCGACUAGUCCUUAUAAUAAGCUGUUUAAUUUAUGUAUUUAAUAAAUAAUAACAGUAUUUA